CGGCGGCGGCGCUGCGAUACAUCAACAAGUGUGCGAUACGGAUCCUACCAAUUUUUGGUUUUCUUUUGAUACUAUAAUAUUUACAUACAGUACAUAUUUGCUGCGUAUGAACUUUGUAUCACGAGAUCUAAUAAGGGUGCGUACGUAGCAGUUAUCACUAUAUCAGUAUAUGACCGUGUAAGGGAAUUUAAGGCGUAUAAUAGCCUGUUUCGUAAUAUCCAAGGCAAUUGUUGAAUAUACCAUCCUUUGCCUUUGGCAGCGACAGUGCCAAGCAUGGACUUGUACACUCGCUGGCAGUUGUCUAUUCUGACUGUCAUCGCCUUUCUGGUGUGUAAUGUCAAAACUGCAAAUGCAAUUAUAUGUGGUCCAUUCAUAUGCGACGGUGUGGGAGCCUAUUGCUGUGAUGGAGGCACACGUUGCUGUUGGUAUACCUGGUACUCAUUGUGGUGGACGUGGGGGAUGAUAUUCAUGUUAUUCAUGCUGCUGAGCGUAUGCAUGGGAUGCUGCUACAGACGACGAUAUUACUACACACGGGAGUAUAUUGUAGCUCACGAUGUUAACACCGUGCCAGUGUAUGGAACCAUUCAACCACCGCCAGCAGGAUACCAAUGGAGUCCUGCACCUGGUGUCGCUCAACCACCCCCAUAUGCGGCACAGGAUGCAAGAAAGCAACCACCAUCCUAUAAUCCUGGUUUUCAGAAUGCUUGAGCUCUAUGUUUCAUUGUCAGGAAUUUUAUGUAAUCGCAUUGCAAUGAAAUGUUAUUUACGGAGCGAGCAUGGGUCUCCGUUAUAUAUGAACAGUAUCCGUCAUUCUUAUUGAUUCUGAUAUAAUGAUUCUCUUGAAAUAACUCCACAUUUUCUCAUAGAUUUUUGAUUUAUGAGGAUAUUAAACACUUGCUUAUCCACAAAUAUGCUAAUGAGUCGGGGGCGGGGGGGGGGAUAAUAGAUUGUAGGAUAGCUGGGGCAGACCGGAGCCAGUAGCAUGUUUUACUGUUUUUUGCUAAACGGCGGAGAAGUAGAGGGAGGUCCCGGGACAAGGGGACCAUGACACUGAUGGCCCCCUAGAUCCACCAGGGACAGUAAAAAGCUUUUGAUAUUAAAGAUCAUUCAAUCUGUAUAUCAUGGUAAUAUAUGUAUAUGUCGAAUUUGUUAUAAGUGUUUUAAUUAAAAAUAAAGCGAAUGUUGCAAUCAGA